rnacentral:misc_RNA from 1 species
UUGUGGAGGAGGACGCCGAAGGUGGGGCUAAUGACUGGGGUGAAGUCGUAACAAGGUAGCCGUACCGGAAGGUGCGGCUGGAUCACCUCCUAACAGGGAGACAACAAAAUGUUUAAUAUUAUUAUUUUGUCACCUUAGGUCGAUCGGUAUCUCACGUUCUUAAUUUAUUAAGAAUUUCAAUUCCUAAGUUUUUCUAGGUCACACCCAUUAUUUUUCCUGGGCCAUUAGCUCAGGUGGUUAGAGCGCACCCCUGAUAAGGGUGAGGUCGUAAAAUUUCCGUCCAGUAUGAAGUCGUUACUUUAACCCUUGUGGAGGAGGACGCCGAAGGUGGGGCUAAUGACUGGGGUGAAGUCGUAACAAGGUAGCCGUACCGGAAGGUGCGGCUGGAUCACCUCCUAACAGGGAGACAACAAAAUGUUUUGAGAUGUGAUCAAAUUCUGAACGAAUCUAGCUUCCUAAUAAAAUUAUUAAGAUGCUGGACUCAUUGAAUUAAUUUCAUUGUUUUCAGAGAACCUUGACAACUGCAUAGAUUAUUUUUAAAGACAAUAAGCAUCUUUAAUGAUGCAGAUUUAUUAUUUGUGCAAAUGCAUUAAUAACAAUUCUAUUAAGCUGAUGCUUCAAUUUUGAAGUUAUUGGUCAAGCUACAAAGGGCUCACGGAGGAUACCUAGGCACACAUAGGCGAUGAGGUCACCCUGCUUUCAUAAAUUGGAGAAAGGAAAUGUUUUGAGAUGUGAUCAAAUUCUGAACGAAUCUAGCUUCCUAAUAAAAUUAUUAAGAUGCUGGACUCAUUGAAUUAAUUUCAUUGUUUUCAGAGAACCUUGACAACUGCAUAGAUUAUUUUUAAAGACAAUAAGCAUCUUUAAUGAUGCAGAUUUAUUAUUUGUGCAAAUGCAUUAAUAACAAUUCUAUUAAGCUGAUGCUUCAAUUUUGAAGUUAUUGGUCAAGCUACAAAGGGCUCACGGAGGA